rnacentral:rRNA from 1 species
UUGGAGGGCAAGUCUGGUGCCAGCAGCCGCGGUAAUUCCAGCUCCAAUAGCGUAUAUUAAAGUUGUUGCAGUUAAAAAGCUCGUAGUUGAAUUUCGGGAUUCAUCCGUUGGUCGGGCUUCACGGUCCGUACUGGUGUGAUGGGUUCCUACCUUCUGAAUAACCGGCAUGCCAUUAAUUUGGUGCGCCGGGGAAGCAGAACUAUUACCUUGAAAAAAUUAGAGUGCAUAAAGCAGGCAAGUGCCUGAAUAGGUUAGCAUGGAAUAAUAAAAUAGGACGGCAUGGUUCUAUUUUGUUGGUUUCUAGGAUCACCGUAAUGAUUAAUAGGGAUAGUUGGGGGCAUUAGUAUUCAAUUGUCAGAGGUGAAAUUCUUGGAUUUAUUGAAGACUAACUUCUGCGAAAGCAUUUGCCAAGGAUGUUUUCAUUAAUCAAGAACGAAAGUUAGGGGAUCGAAGACGAUCAGAUACCGUCGUAGUCUUAACCAUAAACUAUGCCGACUAGGGAUCGGACGAUGUUAAUUUUUUAAUGACUCGUUCGGCGCCUUACGGGAAAC